GAUGAACGCUGGCGGCGUGCUUAACACAUGCAAGUCGAACGGAAAGGCCCAAGCUUGCUUGGGUACUCGAGUGGCGAACGGGUGAGUAACACGUGGGUGAUCUGCCCUGCACUUCGGGAUAAGCCUGGGAAACUGGGUCUAAUACCGGAUAGGACCACUUCUUGGAUGUUGUGGUGGAAAGUUUUUUCGGUGUGGGAUGAGCUCGCGGCCUAUCAGCUUGUUGGUGGGGUAAUGGCCUACCAUGGCGUCGACGGGUAGCCGGCCUGAGAGGGUGUACGGCCACAUUGGGACUGAGAUACGGCCCAGACUCCUACGGGAGGCAGCAGUGGGGAAUAUUGCACAAUGGGCGCAAGCCUGAUGCAGCGACGCCGCGUGGGGGAUGACGGCCUUCGGGUUGUAAACUCCUUUCGCUAGGGACGAAGCGUUUUGUGACGGUACCUGGAGAAGAAGCACCGGCUAACUACGUG
rnacentral:rRNA from 1 species